rnacentral:tRNA from 2 species
GCUCCCGUGGUGGAACUGGCAGACACACCGCACUCAAAAUGCGGCGCCUCGGGCAUGCGGGUUCGAAUCCCGCCGGGAGCACCA